GAUGAACGCUGGCGGCGUGCCUAAUACAUGCAAGUCGAGCGAACAGACGAGGAGCUUGCUCCUUUGACGUUAGCGGCGGACGGGUGAGUAACACGUGGGUAACCUACCUAUAAGUCUGGGAUAACUUCGGGAAAACGGAGCUAAUACCGGAUAAUAUUUCGAACCGCAUGGUUCGAUAGUGAAAGAUGGCUUUGCUAUCACUUAUAGAUGGACCUGCGCCGUAUUAGCUAGUUGGUAAGGUAACGGCUUACCAAGGCAACGAUACGUAGCCGACCUGAGAGGGUGAUCGGCCACACUGGAACUGAGACACGGUCCAGACUCCUACGGGAGGCAGCAGUGGGGAAUCUUCCGCAAUGGGCGAAAGCCUGACGGAGCAACGCCGCGUGAGUGAUGAAGGUCUUCGGAUCGUAAAACUCUGUUAUUAGGGAAGAAUAAACGUGUAAGUAACUGUGCACGUCUUGACGGUACCUAAUCAGAAAGCCACGGCUAACUACGUG
rnacentral:rRNA from 1 species